UACGUAUGGAGCAAGCGUUAUCCGGAUUUACUGGGUGUAAAGGGAGUGUAGGUGGCCAUCCAAGUCAGAAGUGAAAAUCCGGGGCUCAACCCCGGAACUGCUUUUGAAACUGUGAGGCUGGAGUGCAGGAGGGGUGAGUGGAAUUCCUAGUGUAGCGGUGAAAUGCGUAGAUAUUAGGAGGAACACCAGUGGCGAAGGCGGCUCACUGGACUGUAACUGACACUGAGGCUCGAAAGCGUGGGGAGCAAACAGG
rnacentral:rRNA from 1 species